CAGCCGCCACGGGAAUACGUAGGGUGCAAGCGUUAAUCGGAAUUACUGGGCGUAAAGCGUGCGCAGGCGGUCCGCUAAGACAGAUGUGAAAUCCCCGGGCUUAACCUGGGAACUGCAUUUGUGACUGGCGGGCUAGAGUAUGGCAGAGGGGGGUAGAAUUCCACGUGUAGCAGUGAAAUGCGUAGAGAUGUGGAGGAAUACCGAUGGCGAAGGCAGCCCCCUGGGCCAAUACUGACGCUCAUGCACGAAAGCGUGGGGAGCAAACAGGAUUAGAUACCCGGGUAGUCCCUGUCUCUUAUAC
rnacentral:rRNA from 1 species